UCACACGAGUCAGCUGAUGACGUUUCACAUGGACAGAUAACUACGCAUUGUUGUAUAUUUUAUUUAUUGCGUGUGUUAUUAUUAUUUUAUUAUUAUGAAAUUCAUGAACAUUAUUAUUGAGCCUUGGCAGUCUAUUUUGUAUUUGUUUUAUUGAGGAGAAAAAACAGAAAAGAACUCAUAAUGUUGCGCCUGCGCUGUGACGUUCUUUAUUCAACCGCAUUUCCAGUCGAGAGGUCAAGAAUGUUCCUGUCUGCAUCAGCUAUCCACUGCCACUCGCAAAGGAGAUUGUGUUGUUGGAUUAUGGUAUCAUUUGGUCAAAAUGAGGGACAUGUACUGAGCAUUUUUUUUUUUCUUUUUUUUGAUGGGCAAUCACACAGUGGAUUUAUAAAAAUGAGACUAAAGUUACAGAACAUCAGACGGAAGCUUCAACACGUGAGAGGACAUCAUCAAUAAAGAAUGCCAUUGACCAAACCUUCAGUCAUCAAAGGAGAUGGAUACAGGUGGACAUCGAGUUUUCCAGACUUACCGAUAGGAAAGAAGACAUGUUAAUCAGGAAAUGGGAGGGGACAAUUAUUGAGAAACUCAGGGAAAUAGCAUCUUUAGAGAAGAAAAUGGACAUCAGACAUUCAUUGACGAAAGCUGACAGUCAACAUAAUGAUGAGCUGUUUUAUACUCGUUCAUCUUCUGCUGUGUGAAUUCUGCUGUCUCAGACCUGAGGGUAUUGGUGGCGGCUGGUACCAGCGUGACCUCUGCUUACUAAAUAAUGAAAAGGUGUCUAAAAUCAGCUCAGCCACAGUUGGUUUCCAGCGGUUCUUCAGGACAUAGAGGCCACUAUGUAAUUGUCGCAAUGAAUGAUUCUCUUGCCUUUCCACUUGAUGUUGACAAUCUGACCUGUGCGGUAGACAAACUUUUCAAAUUUACUAGCUAAGUAACCUUAAGUAUCCCUGCCAACUGUCUUCAGUUUUUUUUUGUAUGAAUAUGAUCUACCCUUGUCCCAGUCCUCUUGCAAACGAUCCAAGGCAAUGGAGUUUCAAAAUGGACCGCAAAAGGGCAGUCUGUUUUAAACAAUGCAUGCACUGUGUGGCGGUUUCCCGGACAGGGAUUAGACUAGUCCUAGACUAAAACAUUUUUAAGAGCUGUCCAAACUGAAAACAACAUGCACUGACAUAUCUUAAAAUACAUCAGUGCCCUUUGUUUUGCCUCAAAAUGCACACAGGUAAUGUUUUUAGUAAGGCAUGUUUGUUAAAACCAGAUAUAUUUCCUAAUUAAUCUAAGGCCUAGUCCUGGAUUAAGAUAUACCUGUCCGGGAAACCACCCCUAAAUAUUUUGUGAUGGAAAUUUCAUUGAAUACCCUUGUCAAGUUCAUUUGAAGUAUUUUUCUUAAUGUAAAAUAACGUGUUAAUGUUUCAGGACAAGGUAAGAAUUUUUGAUAACUUGCACGUUGAAAACGAUUUCAGACAUUGUUUCAACAUGUUUAACACAUGUGCUUUUAAAUUCAAUGAAUUAAUUUAUAAAUGGUGUUUUAAAAUGUAUGAAUGUAAUGUAUGUUUGAAGUGAUUAUACUUGCACUUAUAUUUAUUUAAAUUAGCAUACAUCUAGCAACAUACAGUACUAGCAUAUUUUCAUGCUAGCAUUAAUUGUCAAAUAUUUGUUCUUUUACAAAUAAAU